UCGUGGGGUGACCUGUCAACUUGAUUGUGAUAACGAACGAGACCUUAACCUACUAAAUAGUCCGUAUUGCUUUGGCAGUACGCCGACUUCUUAGAGGGACUAUCGGUGUAAGCCGAUGGAAGUUUGAGGCAAUAACA
rnacentral:rRNA from 1 species